AAGGGGGAGAUUCAUCGUCAGCGGUGCAGGCUUCGCGAUGGCGUGCGAUGCCGCGGACUACGGUCCGACGGCACGCGGUCGUCGUGCAUUGUCCGGUAACGUCGGCGUGCACUUCUCCCCUUGUAGAACGUCGCGACCCGUUGGGUGUCGUUCUAAGGCACGGUGGGAAGCCUGUCUCGUCGCUUCGGCGUAUCGAGGCAGACCCCCGUUCGCCAGUAACGGCUGCCCGGCGGUACACACACGGUAUCGAGCCGCAAUUUGAUUGCGUCGGACCCGCCGCAAGCGCGGCCAGCGUUUCAACCGGGAUCACGGACCUAGCGCCGUCCCCGGACCUGGCCAGCUGUUGGUUGGCGGUGCUCUCCGACUGGCCGAAUCACUCGAUAAAAUACCGGUCGGCGACGCUACUGCUUUGGGUAAUCUCAGGACCCGUCUUGAAACACGGACCAAGGAGUCUAACAUGUACGCGAGUCAUUGGGACCGCAUACCUAAAGGCAAAAUGAAAGUGAAGGUCGACCUCGCGUCGA
rnacentral:rRNA from 1 species